CUCGCCGUAGUUCAAUGGAUAGAACGUAUGCCUCCUAAGCGUAAAAUGUGGGUUCGAUUCCCCCCGGCGAGGCCA
rnacentral:tRNA from 1 species